UGACUUAUUUACAAUUACUUUAUUAUGGUGUUAUGUGUGAGUGGUGCGUGCACGUGCACAUGCACGUGGAUGUCAUGGAUCUUCUGUCACUCUCCACCUUAUUCUCGAGUCAGAGUCCAGACUGGCAUCCAGCAAGCCCCAGCUCUGGGUCACAGGCUCGCAGCCAUGGCCAGCUUUUUACAAGGAUUCUGGGAUCCGAACUCAGGUCCUCGUGCUUCCAUGGAAAGCUCCCUUGCCACUGAGCCAGCCCAGCCCACUAUGGAUUUUCCAGUGUGUAACAGGGAUGGGCUCGGGGCAGAAUUCUAUACAACCAUGGAGGAAUGCUGGGGUUCUUUCAUCUGGAGAUUUCGGUUGACUUCCUGCAUGCAUCCCUCAAUCCCAUCACAGUUCAGGCCCUUCUGAGCCCAUUUCCCAGACAGGGUAUGGAGGGGUAUGGAGGCUCGGAUGCUGGCAAGAAGUUGAGUCAGGGUGGCAGUCAGGUGCGACAGGCUCCAGCAUCCUCGUGCCUAGCUCUCCCUCCUGUGCAGCGGGGGGGGGGGGGGGGGGGGGGGAGGUGGUGGAGCGAUUGUGAGCAUGACCAUGUGACCUCCCACAAGUUCUUCCCGUGGUUCGGCUGCUGCAGCCAGGCCUUCUGGGAAGCCAUCCCAGGUGCAGCCUGUUUCUCUUGGAAGCUAUUUGGGUGGGAAACAAGAGGGCAAGCGGAGCCAAAGGGUGGAGCCUGUGCAGGAAGAGGCAGCACUUAGGACCUGUGGUAUCUCCUGCUCUGCUCUCUUGGACUUCUUGAGAGCUGUUGCCUGUUGGACUCAGUGUCUCUGUGUGAGAGUGCUCAGAUGUGUGCAACUGCAUGCACACAGAGGCCACAGAAGUACAUCAAAGAUCAUUCCCUAUCACUGUCUUUGCCUUACUCCUUUUGAGGUAGCCACUUCUUGAAUCUAGACUGGUUUUUGAGGAAUGCUGUUAGUCAGCAAGCCCCACUGACUCUCUUGCCUUCCUUGAUAGAUAUUGUGGGAUUCCCAGUUUUUUACACGGGUAUUCAGGUCAAAGAUCAUGGGUGCACAUGCUUGCACAUGCUUUGUUACAUGGGUAUACAGAUCAAAGAUCAUGGGUGCACAUGCUUGCACAUGCUUUGUUACACAGGUAUUCAGAUCAAAGAUCAUGGGUGCACAUGCUUUGUUACAUGGGUAUUCAGAUCAAAGAUCAUGGGUGCACAUGCUUUGCUACACAGGUAUUCAGAUCAAAGAUCAUGGGUGCACAUGCUUGUACAUGCUUUGUUACAUGGAUAUUCAGAUCAAAGAUCAUGGGUGCACAUGCUUUGCUACAUGGGUAUUCAGAUCAAAGAUCAUGGGUGCACAUGCUUGCACAUGCUUUGCUACAUGGGUAUUCAGAUCAAAGAUCAUGGGUGCACAUGCUUGCACAUGCUUUGCUACAUGGGUAUUCAGAUCAAAGAUCAUGGGUGCACAUGCUUUGUUACACGGGUAUUCAGAUCAAAGA
rnacentral:lncRNA from 1 species